rnacentral:lncRNA from 1 species
CUCAAUUAAACAGGUGCAUGUGAAACUUGCAAUCAAGUAUCCAGGAAGUGUUAAUAGACUAGUGGUAAAUGAAAGCCUACAAAAUUUGUACAGUUAUGCAUGCCAUCGGUAAUGACAUCAUACAAAUACGUUUUUGACUGAAAAUUUACUGCUAGACAAACCCACGGUGCACAAUCAGGAAAUAGUUUGUCACUUCAAGUUAAUGGUGGCUUUUUCAUCUGAAUGCUUUGGCCUCUAGAAUCACUCUUCGCGUAUCCAUAAUCACCAGUCACUUUCAUUAAAAGGGGUGAUUUUCUAUCUAAUUCUGCUAUGCACCUUUUUAAGUAAAAUGAUAUUAGGUGAUCUUUUGUUUUGGUUAUAUCGAUCCAAUUUAUCAUCAAUAUUAAAUCCACAUGCCUCUAAAAUAGAGGCAAACUUUUCUAUGUACAAAGUGAUCGAUAGUGUUCUUUUCCUAUAAGUAUAUUUAUCCUCUUAAGAUGACAUACAGUCUAUAUCUGAGCUGAGGCUGCUAGGAUUUUCUUGUAUGUUUUGUAUGGUUUUCAUUGUUCAAUUGACUUUUCUUCUUUUUCAGGUCUGCAUGUCGUGGUUAUUAUGUUCACAGGUUACUUGGUAGGAUUUGCUAUGUUCAAAGCUCUGUUCAACAAUAAUGCUGUACUGAACGCUGCUGGAGGUAUCUUAGGAUUAGUUGGUGGCAUGCUGGUUGAGACCAUUCUCUUCAUCAUCAGAUCAUCGAGUAAAGAGUUAGCCUCUGUUCCAAGAUCAAAGAAAGCUCAGUAGACUCUUGAAAUGCUAUCAUCAGUUAGUGGUGAGAGCUAUAAGUGGCCUUAGCUUGUGGAAGUCUAUGGAGCAUUGGUAUGGGUUUGAAAAUGCAAUUCAUCGAAUAUAUGCAAUUGACAUCCGAUUUGAAUUUGCAUCAUGAAGGAAUAGGGCAGAGGGAUUUGAUUUCAAUAUUAUUAGCUACCCAGAAUUUUGUAUCUCGCCCAAUGAUUGGCUCGAUGAUAAUUGAAGAACAUGUACCUACGGAUAUGUAAAAAGUACAUACAAGAAGAUGGUAUGCUUAACAGCUUAAGUACCAUUGGAGAGUAUAUUGGCUUGAAAUUUUGCAGUUAAAACUUAAAAGUAAGUUGUUAUGUUUGCACGUGAGGUUUUGUUUGUGAAUAAGCAUAUUUUAUCCUAAGAUUUUUCUCAGAUUUCUUUUUUAUCAUAGCAUUUUGAGUAAAUCGAAAUGAAUUUUUUGUUGGUAUAUGCACGAUUGU